rnacentral:rRNA from 1 species
UUAUUAUGAGAGUUUGAUCCUGGCUCAGGACGAACGCUGGCGGCGUGCCUAAUACAUGCAAGUCGAACGCUUCUUUCCUCCCGAGUGCUUGCACUCAAUUGGAAAGAGGAGUGGCGGACGGGUGAGUAACACGUGGGUAACCUACCCAUCAGAGGGGGAUAACACUUGGAAACAGGUGCUAAUACCGCAUAACAGUUUAUGCCGCAUGGCAUAAGAGUGAAAGGCGCUUUCGGGUGUCGCUGAUGGAUGGACCCGCGGU